rnacentral:misc_RNA from 1 species
CCGAGUUCUCGCCCCUCGCGGGGUAGACCUCCCACCCACUGUGAUCACUACCGUCGUUGCUUUGGCGGGCCGCUGGGCCCCUGCCCGCCGCCGGCCCCGGCUGGCGCGCGCCCGCCAGAGGCUCUACAAACGCUAGAUAUCAGUGCCGUCUGAGUACACAUGUUAAUCGUUA